UCAGUGCCUUUAAAAAAGGAUAAUAGGGAAUUUUGUGAAACAAAGCAGCCCCCGCUACUGUAUGGAGGACGAAAUCUUAAUUUGUCACUGAAAAUUUGGGAAGACUAAGAGAGUAGAGUGAUUCUAAGCCAGGAGACCUGCUGAUAUGAU
rnacentral:ncRNA from 1 species